rnacentral:rRNA from 1 species
CCUACGGGCGGCAGCAGUGAGGAAUAUUGGUCAAUGGCCGGAAGCCUGAACCAGCCAAGCCGCGUGAAGGACGAAGGUGCCAAGCAUUGUAAACUUCUUUUGCCAAGGGACAAAAUCAGGCUCGAGAGCCUGACCGAGGGUCCUUGAAGAAAAAGCAUCGGCUAACUCCGUGCCAACAGCCGCGGUAAUACGGAGGAUGCGAGCGUUAUCCGGAUUUAUUGGGUUUAAGGGGUGCGCAGGCGGGCUGUUAAGUCAGCGGUAAAAGCCCGGGGCUCAACCCCGGCGAGCCGUUGAAACUGGCUGUCUUGAGAGGGCGAGAGGUAUGCGGAAUGCGUAGUGUAGCGGUGAAAUGCUUAGAUAUUGCGCAGAACUCCGAUUGCGAAGGCAGCAUACCGGCGGCGAACUGACGCUGAGGCACGAAAGCGUGGGUAUCGAACAGGAUUAGAUACCCCUGUAGUC